UUUACUUUCGAACACACAUACAAUAAUCUUGUCGAGUAAGAAAAAGAAGAAAGUGUGUGCAUUGUGACAUUUAGAUUCAGUUUUGUUAAACUAUCCAAGGAAAUGUGUUGGCAAAAUUGUGUGUUUUCAAUACAUUUGAUUGUUGCAAUCAUUUUAACAAUCGUUUCAACAAUUAAUCGACUAUGGACAUUGCUUGGACUUCCAAUACCUGCUGUGAUCAACUGAUAUUGGAAUCAAAUCAACGCCGAUGCCGCCGUCUUCGAUGACGAUAACGACGUGGACAUAUCCGAGCCCGAGUUAGAAUAGCAGCCAACAAAUCAUCACAAUACCAUACAAUAAAAUAAAAUAAAGCAUAAAUAAUAUUUGUUACGUAACUGCUAUCCCGAAUAUGUGGGUUAGUUAUGCACAAAACAAGUCAUUUCCCAUUUGGUUGAGAUGGCUGUGCGGGAGUACAAACGGAGCGUUUUUCCAUUAUAUGGGAAACACCCUAUGUAGAAAAUUUAAUAAAUAUACUUUUUAGAACAUCGAGACACUCUUAAUCUAAAUGCUCAUACAAGAUUAGAAAAUUUACGAAUUUAAGAAAAUCUGAAACAUAUAAAUAUCGGUAAACAGAAUUGAUUAUUUUAUA